UACGUGGGGGGCUAGCGUUGUCCGGAAUCAUUGGGCGUAAAGCGCGUGUAGGCGGCCAGAAAAGUCCGCUGUGAAAACUCGAGGCUCAACUUCGAGCUGUCGGUGGAAACUUUCUGGCUAGAGUCCGGAAGAGGAGAAUGGAAUUCCUGGUGUAGCGGUGAAAUGCGCAGAUAUCAGGAAGAACACCCGUGGCGAAGGCGGUUCUCUGGGACGGUACUGACGCUGAGACGCGAAAGCGUGGGGAGCGAACAGG
rnacentral:rRNA from 1 species